UACAGAGGGUGCAAGCGUUGUUCGGGAUUAUUGGGCGUAAAGCGCGUGUAGGCGGCUUGUUAAGUCGGGUGUGAAAGCCCUCAGCUCAACUGAGGAAGUGCGCCCGAAACUGGCGAGCUUGAGUGUCGGAGAGGAUGGCGGAAUACCCCAAGUAGAGGUGAAAUUCGUAGAUAUGGGGUGGAACACCGGUGGCGAAGGCGGCCAUCUGGACGACAACUGACGCUGAGACGCGAAAGCGUGGGGAGCAAACAGG
rnacentral:rRNA from 1 species